ACGAACGCUGGCGGCGUGCCUAAUACAUGCACGUCGAACGCUUCUUUCCUCCCGAGUGCUUGCACUCAAUUGGAAAGAGGAGUGGCGGACGGGUGAGUAACACGUGGGUAACCUACCCAUCAGAGGGGGAUAACACUUGGAAACAGGUGCUAAUACCGCAUAACAGUUUAUGCCGCAUGGCAUAAGAGUGAAAGGCGCCUUCGGGUGUCGUUGAUGGAUGGACCCGCGGUGCAUUAGCUAGUUGGUGAGGUAACGGCUCACCAAGGCCACGAUGCAUAGCCGACCUGAGAGGGUGAUCGGCCACACUGGGACUGAGACACGGCCCAGACUCCUACGGGAGGCAGCAGUAGGGAAUCUUCGGCAAUGGACGAAAGUCUGACCGAGCAACGCCGCGUGAGUGAAGAAGGUUUUCGGAUCGUAAAACUCUGUUGUUAGAGAAGAACAAGGACGUUAGUAACUGAACGUCCCCUGACGGUAUCUAACCAGAAAGCCACGGCUAACUACGUG
rnacentral:rRNA from 1 species